UACGGAGGGUGCAAACGUUGCUCGGAAUUAUUGGGCGUAAAGCGCGCGUAGGCGGCUGGGUAAGUCGAUUGUGAAAGCCCCGGGCUCAACCUGGGAAUUGCAGUCGAGACUGCUCGGCUAGAGUGUGGGAGAGGGUGGUGGAAUUCCCGGUGUAGCGGUGAAAUGCGUAGAUAUCGGGAGGAACAUCAAUGGCUACGGCGACCACCUAGCUCAACACUGACGCUGAGGUGCGAAAGCGUGGGUAGCAAACAGG
rnacentral:rRNA from 1 species